GGGGCCCGCACAAGCAGCGGAGCAUGUGGUUUAAUUCGAAGCAACGCGAAGAACCUUACCAAGACUUGACAUCCAAUUAAAGCUAUGGAAACAUAGUGUGACUUCGGUCGAAUUGAGACAGGUGGUGCAUGGUUGUCGUCAGCUCGUGUCGUGAGAUGUUGGGUUAAGUCCCGCAACGAGCGCAACCCCUGUUAUCGGUUACCAGCGGGUAAAGCCGGGAACUCCGAUGAGACUGCCGGGGAUAACUCGGAGGAAGGUGGGGACGACGUCAAAUCAUCAUGCCCCUUACGUCUUGGGCUACACACGUGCUACAAUGGCUGUUACAAAGGGAAGCGACAUGGUAACAUGAAGCCAAUCUCAUAAAAGCAGUCUCAGUUCAGAUUGUGGGCUGCAACCCGCCCACAUGAAGUCGGAGUUGCUAGUAAUCGCGAAUCAGAAUGUCGCGGUGAAUACGUUCCCGGGCCUUGUACACACCGCCCGUCACACCAUGGGAGUUGGGAGAGCCCGAAGCCUGUAUCCUAACCUUUGAGGGGGGAGCAGUCGAAGGUUAGACCAAUGACUGGGGUG
rnacentral:rRNA from 1 species